rnacentral:rRNA from 1 species
UACGAAGGGGGCAAGCGUUGUUCGGAAUUACUGGGCGUAAAGGGCGCGUAGGCGGCCGAUCAAGUCAGGCGUGAAAUUCCCGGGCUCAACCUGGGGGCUGCGCUUGAUACUGAUUGGCUUGAAUGCGGGAGAGGAUAGUGGAAUUCCCAGUGUAGAGGUGAAAUUCGUAGAUAUUGGGAAGAACACCGGUGGCGAAGGCGGCUAUCUGGCCCGUAAUUGACGCUGAGGCGCGAAAGCGUGGGGAGCAAACA